CUCCAGUCUGAGGUGAGUAAGCUAAAUAAAAGUUUUAACAUCUUCUAAAGACAAUUCCCUUCCUAAAUGCAAAGUUUGAGAGACGUGGUUCACUCCAUUUAGCUAAUAUCAGCCUGCACUGCCUUCGGGCUGAUUUGUCAAGUUCACAAAAUGUGGAACGGGAUGUAAGGUUAGAAUCAGUGGCGAAUCGGAACAUAUCUCGAAGGCCUGGCCGACAAAACGGUCCACAUGACUGUCAGGCUCAGAGAAAAUUCGGGUUGUUUUUGUGUCAGUCGGUAAUUCUGCAACAGUGACUCUAAACUGACGCAGCACUAGUUGACAGACAGCAUUACAGCGUGAAAUCUAGCACAGCGUGACCCGGUUCCGUGAGGAAUUCUGUUCAGGAGGUCGCAUUUCAGGAUCUCCACAUCAUAUGUGACUGACUUUUACGUUAUAAUAACAUCACACACUAGGAAUGUUAUAAAGCGCCUAUAUGGGACAGUUUCUUUUGUAUUUUAUCUGACUUUAUAAACAUCAAUGUGCUUCUAUUUUUUUCAGGCUAAAUCUACCCAAGACACUGGCUGUCAGACUGAUUUAGUAAUCUGCAAGAAUGCACUUGUCCAGGCUGACGUGAAGCCUUGCCCGUAGCAAAGAGCUCACAGCCUCAGUGUCUUGUGACACAGGGACCAUGACAGAAAUUCAUCUUCCAGAAGGUCCCAGAGCAUCCACACCUCCUGAAAAGACCAAGAUGUGAGGUGUCUGCUGUUGAUUCCAGCUUCCACCUCAGUGACAGUACAAGCUCAGUGAACUGUUCAAGGAGACUCAGCAAAAUAUGGACUCUACACCAUGAGGCAGGCACACGUUAAUAACUCUAUAAGAGCACAUAAGCCUGGCUGAUCACCUGAUAACUCCUGUCAUCUGGUUGUGACAGCAUGAGGAUGUCCUCACACACCUGUAACCUAUCAGCUCAUCUGGCAGAAUAGAGAGAAGAGACAACACCACAUCUCCUGUUCCUGGAAAGCCUUCAGCCAUCCUUCGAUGACUGAGAACCUCCAUCAGCUCUGUCUCCUGUCUGCCUACAAUUAUUAUAAUAAAUAUUGUGUUUGACAAGUUUUUUGUGCUGCC